rnacentral:rRNA from 1 species
AGAGUUUGAUCAUGGCUCAGAGUGAACGCUGGCGGCAGGCCUAAUACAUGCAAGUCGAACGGCAGCACAGCAGAGCUUGCUCUGUGGGUGGCGAGUGGCGGACGGGUGAGGAAUACGUGGGAAUCUGCCCAGUCGUGGGGGAUAACGUAGGGAAACUUACGCCAAUACCGCAUGCGCCCUUCGGGGGAAAGCCGGGGACCUUCGGGCCUGGCGCGAUUGGAUGAGCCCACGUCGGAUUAGCUAGUUGGCGGGUAAAGGCCCACCAAGGCGACGAUCCGUAGCUGGUCUGAGAGGAUGAUCAGCCACACUGGAACUGAGACACGGUCCAGACUUCUACGGGAGGCAGCAGUAGGGAAUAUUGGACAAUGGGCGCAAGCCUGAUCCAGCCAUGCCGCGUGAGUGAAGAAGGCCCUCGGGUUGUAAAGCUCUUUUGUCCGGAAAGAAAAGCGCCGGGUUAAUACCCUGGUGUCCUGACGGUACCGGAAGAAUAAGCACCGGCUAACUUCGUG